UGGACUUGUUGUUUUAAUAUUUCAGAGACAUCUCUAACAAUGGAAUUACAGAUAUUGGACCAUUCAUUUUCAACGAGUCAGUCAACAUGCUUAAUUUGUCACUGGCCAGCAAUUUGAUAACACAUCUAAGGGCAAACACUUUUAUUGGAUUAAGACGCCUUGUCUUCCUGAAUUUAGUUUGAAAUCCGUUGCAGAUCAUCGACCCAGGUACAUUCAAUGGUUUUACGAGUCUACCAGAGCUCAAGUUGAUUGGCUUUCCAGCUAAGGUACUUCCCGAUGGAGCACUGGACGGACUGGACUCGUUGAAAAUCUUAUCAUUAAGCGACUGCUCUCAGAUGAACAUCAUGCCAAGAACAUUAUCAACUCUCGGAAACCUUUUGGAACUCAACAUCAUCAACACUGCUUUUACAGCCGUUAAUGAAGACACGUUUGAUGGACUUCAUCUACUGCGCUCUUUAUAUUCUGACAGAUACCUGUUUUGCUGUCUGGUGGGUGAGAUCGAAACAUGCACGCCCCCUGCCGACCAAUUCUCGUCAUGCGAAGACCUAAUGCGUAACUCUGUACUCCGAAGCUGCAUCUGGCUUUUAGGAAUCAGUGCACUACUCGGUAACUUUCUCGUCCUUGUGUGGAGACUACGGAACGGCACAAAUGAGAGAAGCAAAGUUCAAAGUUGCUUAAUACUCAACCUUGCGUUGUCUGACUUUCUAUAUGGGUGUUUAUAUGGUGAUUAUUGGUAGUGCUGAUCUGCAAUAUAGGAAUGUUUAUAUUCUUCAUGCUGAUGAAGAGUGGGGAGAAAGUUUUCUAUGUAAGGCUGCUGGGUUGUUGUCAGUUGUUUCCAGUGAGGUGUCAGUUGUUAUGCUUGUUACUAUAAGCUUAGAUAGGUUUUGGUGUGUUGUGUUCCCGCUCAAGAGAGCACGUCUGGGUGUCAAGUCGUCUAGAGUUGUUGCAUCAGUCGUCUGGUCUACUAUGAUAAUUGUUAGCGUUAUACCUGUCUUAGGUCUUCCCUAUUUCGCGGGGUCUUUCUAUGGACGGACUGGGGUAUGUCUAGCUUUACCUUUGACCCAAGACCACUCUCCUGGAUGGGAGUAUUCGGUCUCGUUCUUCCUCAUAUUCAAUAUGAUAUGCUUCAUCAUUAUCCUGGUAUGCUACACUGGGAUUUACAUAACAGUCAAACGAACAUCAAGGAAAGUACGUUCAAACCGGAAAACACAAGAAGUCAAAAUGGCCGGGAGAGCCACAUGAUACUAUGACUACAGAGAAGAGUGUGGAAAGGGAUUUGAAACAGCUUAAGAUAGUUAUCAGCUUGAUUCGAAGGAAGCUGGGAACAAGACAGUCUUUCUUUUAAGGAAGCCUAUAUAUUAUUUUCAGGCACUGGACACUUUUUGUAAUUAUCAAAGACCAUUCUUUUCACUUCUCAACAUAUGCAUAAAAUAAAA